rnacentral:rRNA from 1 species
AUACGGAGGGUCCGAGCGUUAUCCGGAAUUAUUUGGUUUAAAGGGUCCGUAGGCGGGCGAUUAAGUCAGUGGUGAAAGUCUGCAGCUCAACUGUAGAAUUGCCUUUGAUACUGAUUGUCUUGAGUUAUAGUGAAGUUGCCGGAAUAUGUAGUGUAGCGGUGAAAUGCAUAGAUAUUACAUAGAACACCGAUUGCGAAGGCAGGUGACUAACUGUAUACUGACGCUGAUGGACGAAAGCGUGGGGAGCGAACAGGAUUAGAAACCCUAGUAGUCC